CUCACUUUCUAAUUCUUGUAAAAAAUAGUAAAAUAAAUCCAAGACAUUAUCAGGGCAAUCACAAGCCAGAUCUUCUUCUUCUUCUCACUUUCUAAUUUUUUCUUCAAUUUGUCAACAUCUCUUGAAUUGUUCAUCAUAAAACUCUUCAUCAUGUCACAAUUAUUGCAGGCAGGAGCAACAUGAUCAAGAGCAACAGUAUCAGCAGAAACAGGACCAGCAGCAACCGUAGAGGGAUUUUGAUUACCAUUAUGCAAAUUUCGAUCAUCAUCCCAAACAAAAAGAAUUUCCUCUUAGGAUUUUUAGGAGUGUUAGCCAUCCACAUCCUCAUCACUUGUUUACAUCCACAUAACGGUGGUUUUACCCCAUUUGAUGUGCUGACAGAAGAUCUGUUUUUCACCAUUAUUUCUUCAAAUCUAAAAAUGCCAUCAAGAUGAAAAAAAUGAUGUGAAGAGGAAGAAGAGAAAGACGCGACAAGUUUCAUGUAGGAAGGUGGGAGAUGAAGGCGAAUACAUGAAGAAGAUGAACUCAAACGCAACGUAAGAGAGCGACAAGUUUCAAAUUUUGGGGCCUAUAAUUAAUUAAGUUUAGUUUUCAGUUUGAAAUUUUGUAUUUUUAUAAAUGUUUAACUUGACACAUCAUGAUGUUACAUUAGCUUAUUUGGAUGGAUAAACCUGGCCAAAGAUCAAAAAAAAAAAAUAUAAGAAUUUCAAACGAGAAAGGUUGAAUAAAAAAAAUUUGAGACUAAAAUCAAAAUUUGUUCAAAUUACAGG